rnacentral:rRNA from 1 species
AUCCAGACCCUACGGGGUGCAGCAGGCGCGAAAACUUGGCAAUGCGAGAAAUCGUGGCCAGGGAACUCCAAGUGCAUCGGGUAAGACCGGUGCUUUUCUUGACUCUAAAUAGGUCUUGGAAUAAGGGGUGGGUAAGGACGGUGCCAGCCGCCGCGGUAAUACCGGCGCCUCAAGUGGUAGUCGCUUUUAUUGGGCCUAAAACGUCCGUAGCCGGUCUGAUACAUUCGUGGGUAAAUCAACCAGCUCAACUGGUUGAAUUCUGCGAGGACGGUCAGGCUUGGGACCGGGAGAGGUGUGGGGUACGCUCAGGGUAGGGGUAAAAUCCUGUCAUCCUGAGCGGACCACCUGUUGCGAAGGCGCCACACUAGAACGGAUCCGACGGUCAGGGACGAAGCCUAGGGGCACGAACCGGAUUAGAUACCCGGGUAGUCCUAGGUGUAAACGCUGUGGACUUGAUGUUGGGAGUGCUCCGAGCACUCUCAGUGUCGAAGCGAAGGUGAUAAGUCCACUGCCUGGGAAGUANGUCGCAAGGCUGAAACUCAAAGGAAUGACGGAA